rnacentral:rRNA from 1 species
CCUACGGGGGGCAGCAGUGAGGAAUAUUGGUCAAUGGACGAGAGUCUGAACCAGCCAAGUAGCGUGAAGGAUGACUGCCCUAUGGGUUGUAAACUUCUUUUAUAUGGGAAUAAAAUGUUCCACGUGUGGGAUUUUGUAUGUACCAUAUGAAUAAGGAUCGGCUAACUCCGUGCCAGCAGCCGCGGUAAUACGGAGGAUCCGAGCGUUAUCCGGAUUUAUUGGGUUUAAAGGGAGCGUAGGUGGAUUGUUAAGUCAGUUGUGAAAGUUUGCGGCUCAACCGUAAAAUUGCAGUUGAAACUGGGAGUCUUGAGUACAGUAGAGGUGGGCGGAAUUCGUGGUGUAGCGGUGAAAUGCUUAGAUAUCACGAAGAACUCCGAUGGCGAAGGCAGCUCACUGGACUGCAACUGACACUGAGGCUCGAAAGUGUGGGUAUCAAACAGGAUUAGAUACCCUAGUAGUC